rnacentral:lncRNA from 1 species
CUCACCGGUAGAAACCGGCCAUCUACAUUUCCUGGUUGUAAGCAAACCGCAAUAUCCAGAAUUCAUAGCGAUUUCAGGACAUAGUAUUGCCCCAGUGAAGGUGUAUCCAGUUGAUCUGGAGAAAUAUGAAAAAGUCUGUUUAUAGCCAGCACUUUCAACCAGGGGAUUUUGAAACUGAACUGAAGUCUCAACGGAUGGGGAUGCCAGGUCACUAAACGUUGAAAAGUCAUGCUAUUCCAUCGAUUUACCCCUUCACUUCAAAGAGGAAGGCAUCCAUCGGCCAACAUCAGUGCAGCAGAAAAUAAAUCGAGCUGAGGCAACGUAGCUAACUAGCUAGUGAACUACAUCUGUUUAUGUAAACCAAAAUCGAGCUCACUAGCUUUAAUAUGCUUGCUGACAUUCCAGAACAAAUCAAUGUAAUUAGCCUGGCGAUGUGAUUUUUAAGUUUGCAAGCUAACGUUAGCUUUGUUAGGUUACAUUACCUGCAGCCUACCGGACCGUAUCUAACCAUUAGCUAGCUAGCUAACUAACUACCGCAGAGGCAAACGUGGCUAGGAGUUCUAUUUAGAGUCCGAUUCAAUCAACAUCUGCAGCAGCAUCAACAUCAAGCUCAGCACCAGGAACUAGUACUAAUCCUGCUGCUGAUGAUGACAACCUCUCCACCAUCUUUAAUAGUAGACCCAUUGGAUGAAAGCUUUCAACUGGGAACAAGCUCAAGCUCAACAUAAUCAGACUCGAAAAAAAGCCGGGACAGCCAAAGGAGACUUGCAGUACAAACAAAUCUUCUGCAAGAGGUGGGUGGUGAAGAAGGUGUACGAGCCCAGAACCCACUACUUCAGGGAGAGGCUUGUCCACCUGACUGUGGAGCAAAGAAAGGACCAGAGAGUUGUAUACAAGGAGCCAGAGUCACAGCUCCCCAAACUCAACAUCCCUGCCAACAUCGCCACAGCGCCAAAGCCUGCUAAACCCGCUGCCAUGACCCAACACAAGACAAGGUUCACCAGCUGAAGAACAUUCUGGAACAUUAAACCAACACAACAUCCCUAUUCAGUUAGACUGAUGUUGUAGUAUAAUAUUACUCCAGUGCUAGCCUCCCUACACUGGCUUCCUGUUAAGGCAAGGGCUGAUUUCAAGGUUUUACUGCUAACCUACAAAGCAUUACAUGGGCUUGCUCCUACCUAUCUUUCCGAUUUGGUCCUGCCGUACAUACCUACACGUACGCUACGGUGACAAGAUGCAGGCCUCCUAAUUGUUCCUAGAAUUUCUAAGCAAACGGCUGGAGGUAGGGCUUUCUCCUAUAGAGCUCCAUUUUUAUGGAAUGGUCUGCCUACCAAUGUGAGAGACGCAGACUCAGUCUCAACCUUUAAGUCUUUACUGAAGACUUAUCUCUUCAGUAGGUCCUAUGAUUAAGUAUAGUCUGGCCCAGGAGUGUGAAGGUGAACGGAAAGGCUGGAGCAACGAACCGCCCUUGCUGUCUCUGCCUUGCCGGUUCCCCUCUUUCCACUGGGAUUCUCUGCCUCUAACCCUUUUACAGGGGCUGAGUCACUGGCUUACUGGUGUUCUUCCAUGCCGUCCAUGGGAGGGGUGCGUCACUUGAGUGGGUUGAGUCACUGACGUGGUCUUCCUGUCUGGGUUGGCGCCCCCCCUUGGGUUGUGCCAUGGCGGAGAUCGUUGUGGGAUUAUACUCGGCCUUGUCUUAGGACGGUAAGUUGGUGGUUGGAGACAUCCCUCUAGUGGUGUGGGGGCUGUGCUUUGGCAAAGUGGGUGGGGUUAUAUCCUGCCUGUUUGGCCCUGUCCGGGGGUAUCAUCGGAUGGGGCCACAGUGUCUUCUGAUCCCUCCUGUCUCAGCCUCCAGUAUUUAUGCUGCAGUAGUUUAUGUGUCAGGGGGCUAGGGUCAGUCUGUUACAUCUGGAGUAUUUCUCUUGUCUUAUCCGGUGUCCUGUGUGAAUUUAAAUAUGCUCUCUCUAAUUCUCUCUUUCUGUCUUUCUCUCGGAGGACCUGAGCCCUAGGACCAUGCCUCAGGACUACCUGGUAUGAUGACUCCUUGCUGUCCCCAGUCCACCUGGCCGUGCUGCUGCUCCAGUUUCAACUGUUCUGCCUGCGGCUAUGGAACCCUGACCUGUUCACCGGACGUGCUUGUUGCACCCUCGACAACUACUAUGAUUAUUAUUAUUUGACCAUGCUGGUCAUUUAUGAACAUUUUAACAUCUUGACCAUGUUCUGUUAUAAUAUCCACCCUGCACAGCCAGAAGAGGACUGGCCACCCCUCAUAGCCUGGUUCCUCUCUAGGUUUCUUCCUAGGUUUUUGGCCUUUCUAGGGAGUUUUUCCUAGGGAGUUUUUCCUAGCCACCGUGCUUCUUUCACAUGCUUUGCUUGCUGUUUGGGGUUUUAGGCUGGGUUUCUGUACAGCACUUUGAGAUAUCAGCUGAUGUACGAAGGGCUAUAUAAAAAUAAAUUUGAUUGAUUAAUAUAGAAUACCUAGUAUGCUCACAACUGCAUUGUGGUAUAGAUAUUGCUAGCUCUUGUACAUAUGUUUCAUACAUAUGUUUAACAAGUCAGACGCGAAGGAUUUACUUCAGACGGGAUUUACCCUCAUCCACAUAAUCUGCCUUUACCAUCGGUCCUAUUAGCCAACGUUCAAUCAUUGGAUAAUAAAAUAGACAAACUAUGAUCACGUAUAUCCUACCAACGGGAUAUAAAAAAAUGUAAUAUCUUAUGUUUAACUGAGUCGUGGCUGAACGACGACAUGAAUAACAUGCAGCUGGCGGGUUUUAAGCUGUAUCGGCAGGAUAGGACAGCGGCGAUCUAUGUAUAUUUGUAAACAACAGCUGGUGCAUGAAAUCUAAUGAAGGAUAUGGCUUGUGGUGAGAUAUUGUGUAGCUAAAGGUAAUGUGUCAGCCUAUUAAUUAGGAAAAUAUAAAAAAUUGCCUAUUACUAGGCUAUUCAAAAUAAUGGACUAUAAUUGUAGAAUAACUCUGUUAGCUGCUCUGCACAAUCAAUGAACCAACAGCGUUGCCUAGACCAGUGGUUCCCAAACUGUGGACAUGCCCCCUAGGGGGGCUGCGACGGGUCAGCAAGGGCGGCACGGGGGUCCCCCACCUCCCAAAUGAAAAAAAUAAAUAAUAAUGGAACACAGUCCGGCUUUAAACUUUCUGUUGAAAGUUGUAAUAGUAGAAUGCACAAGGUGCAAAUUCGAAAUCGGGUAGCGCAUCAUCAGUUCCUCUUGUCAUUACAGUCAUUGCAUACCUUAGAGAGCUAUUUAUAACUUCAGAAAUCAACUAGCCCAUGUCAGCUAAUGUUUUCUUAUCUAGGUUUUUUAGCCCAUAGAUAUUGUUGUAAUUUUUUUGUCACUCAUUUAUGUUUAUUUAUUUUUUGUAUUUUACCCCCCUCUUUGUCCCCAAUUUUGAUCUUGUCUCCUUGCUGCAACUCCCCAACGGGCUCGGGAGGCGAAGUUCGAGUAAUGCGUCCCCCGAAACCACGCUUCUUAGCACCCGCCUGCUUCCCCUGAACCACGCUUUUUUGCACACGCCUGCUUAAUCAAGAAGCCAGCCGCACCAAUGUUUUGGAGGAAACGCCAUUCAACUGACGACCGAAGUCUGCCUGCAGGCACCCGGCCAGCCACAAAGAGUCACUAGAGCGCAAUGAGCCAAGUAAAGCGCCUCCCGGCCAAACCCUCCCCUAAACCCGGAUGACGCUGGGCCAAUUUUGCGCCGCCCUAUUGGACUCCCGAUCACAGCCGGUUGGGAUACAGCCCGAGAUCUAACCCGGGUCUGUAGUGAUGCCUCUAGUGCUGUGAUGCAGUGUCUUAGACUGCUGCACCACUCGGGAGGCCAGGCACAAAUUUUUUUGUCACUCAAAAUACACAACAAACAUUAGACAUGGCAAAAUGUAUAGUAUUGCAAGAAAAUUUGCUUUUAAACUGCAAAAUGUGCUUUGCACCACAUGACAAAUUGUGUAUAAUUGCUUGAAAUAAAAUUGCAAAAUUCUCUCCACCAACAAGAGGGUUGUGAACAGUUUGUGUCAUGAACAGUGCUUGUGCCCAUAGAAAAAGACGUGGUCUAUGCGCGCAGGGGGGGCGCGGGAUGUUCUCCAAGUUUGUGAAUCCCUGGCCUAGACCAGGGAUGGGCAACUUUGAUGGGGGUGGGAGCCACAAAAACGGAACUCAUCAUGAGGGGCCGCAGUGGCUCAUGGGGCUGCAUACCCACAUCCAUACCUCCAAUUUAAUUUAAUUUUUGUGAAAUUGGUCCGUGUGCCUACAAAAGGGAGGACUCGGGCCGCCAGUUGCCCAUCCCUUGCCUAGACCUACCUAUAAGUUCUUUCCCAAACUCAUGGAUAGAACCUUUGGAGAGUAGCAUAAGGUAACCAGCCCAUCCAGUGUGUGUAAUAAUACAGUCCACACUCAAAGAUGAUUCAUAAAAAUCAUUUAAUUUAGGAGUAUAGGCAAGACCAAUUACGUACCAAAUACAUUUAAAUCAUUAAAAAAAAAUCUGCAUUGAGUAUAAUGCAGUAGGCUAUGUAUCUUAUAAUGGCACAAUUAUUAUUUUAAUUCCGUUUUUUUUUUUCUGUCUUGGGCUCAUAUAAAUCCCUAUGCAUAUGGGUGUUUUGAAUUUAUCACCCUAGAAAGCACUUUCCAUUACGUUAUUUUAGGCUUUGAAACAACAUCCACAAUGAACAUGUUUUCCAACCUGUUAUUGAACUUCUUUCUUCAAAUUGAUCAAUGAGAGUGAGUUGAGUUUUAAAAGCAUGAUACUGUUUUGAUGACAGAUGUCAGAGUGGUUAGAGGGACAAAAUAUGUGACAUUGUGCUUAUCCUCCCACAGACUUUAGACCAUGCGUACGCACUGUUUCUAGUGGUUGAAGUAUUGCAUUGCAAGAAAGCAAAAGCCUAAUAGUAGCCUUGUGCAACUGGGGAAUAUAUGAUUACACCCUUAUUCAUAACAAAAAAAACAGGUAUAAAUAUAAUAAGAUGCAAUCAUUUGCGUUAGUGAGAACAUGCCUUCGUAAACUGACUAUCCUACCGAUCCUUGACUUUCGCGAUGUCAUUUACAAAAUAGCCUCUAACACUCAACUCAGAAAAUUGGAUGUAGUCUUUCACAAUGCCAUCUGUUUUGUCACCAAAGCCCCAUAUACUACCCACCACUGUGACCUGUAUGCUCUCGUUGGCUGGUCCUCGCUCCAGCAGGUAUAUUUCACUGGUCAUCCCCAAAGCCACCUCCUUUGGUCGCCUUUCCUUCCAGUUCUCUGCUGCCAAUGACUUGAACGAAUUGCAAAUAUCACUGAAGUUGGAGACAUAUCUCCCUUACUAACUUUAAGCAUCAGCUCUCAGAGCAGCUUACCGAUCGCUGCAGCUGUACACAGCCCAUCUGUAAAUAGCCCAUCCAACCAAAUACCUACCUCAUCCCAUAUUUGUUUUUGUUUUUCUGCUCUUUUGCACACCAGUAUUUCUACUUGCACAUCCUCAUCUGCACAUCUAUCCAGUGUUAACCGCUAAAUUGUAAUUACUUUGCCACUGUCACAUAAUCCAUGGUGCUGUUGAAAGGACGACCAAGGCGCAGCGGGAAUAUGGAUGCUCAUAUUUUCAUUUAAAAAAAAGGAGUAAAGCAUCACUGAAAAAACCAAUAAACAAAACAAUGAACAGUACUCACGAAAUGACAGUGCAGCAGGCUAAACAAAAAAAAAAAAAAGCAGUGCUCACAACAAUUCCCCACAAACACAGACAAACACACCCAACUAAUAUAGGACUUCCAAUCAAAGGCAACACCACACAGCUGCCUUCAAUUGGAAGUCCACCCCAAUUACCUCUACAUAGAAACACCCAACCUAGACAGAACAAAGAAAACCCAACUUCUUCUGCCACGCCCUGACCAACACUUGUACACCUACUCCACCUGCUGGUCAGGACGUGACAGCCACAAUGGCCUAUUUAUUGCCUUACCUCCUUACUUAAUUUGCACACACUGUAUACAGAUGUUUCUAUUGUGUUAUUGACUAUGUUUGUUUAUCCCAUGUGUAACUCUGUGUUGUUGUUUUUGUCACACUGCUUUGCUUUAUCUUGGUCAGGUCGCAGUUGUAAAUGAGAACUUGUUCUCAACUGGCCUACCUGGUUAAAUAAAGUGAAAUAAAAAAAAUAUAAAUGAAUUGAGAUGGUUAAAAAAAUAGACAUCUAUUUCCUGUUAUUUAUUUAAUUUCUAUGAUCAUUGCAGAAUAAAUUCCUCACCUUUUCUGACUGUGAGGGUUUCAUACUCGGGAAAUAGCCUAUAGGCCGACAACAAGUUAGGAUAGGCUACCAUUUGUCCCAUCUCUCAUUAGCCUAAAGUAUUUUGCUCUAUGUGAUCUGACCCAAAGCGCAGUUUAAUGGUAGAAGAGACGGUUCACCUUUUCCAUUGAUGUUUGUAUAGUAUGUCUGAAUACUGUAAUGUUACAUUUCUCAAGUAGACAAUAUAAUGAAACUUGCUCUCAUGAGGACCGCCAUAGGAAAGGAAGACCCAGAGUUACCUCUGCUGCAAAUGAUAACUUCAUUAGAGUUACCAGCCUCAGAAAUCGGCAAUUAACUGCACCUCAGAUUGCAGCCCAAUUUAAAUGCUUCACAGAGUUCAAGUAACAGACACAUCUCAACAUCAACUGUUCAGAAGAGUCUGGGUGAAUCAGGCAUUCAUGGUUGAAUUGCUGCAAAGAAAACACUACUAAAGGACACCAAUAAUAAGAAGAGACUUGCUAAAGCCAAGAAACACGAGUAAUGGACAUUAGACCGGUGAAAAUCUGUCCUUUGGUCUGAUGAGUCCAAAUUUGAGAUUUUUGGAUCCAACAGCCUUGUGUUGGUGAGACACAGUAGGUGAACUGAUAAUCUCUACAUGUGUGGUUCCCACCGUGAAACAUGGAGGAGGUGCGAUAGUGCUUUGCUGGUGGUACUGUCUGUGAUUUAUUUAGAAUUCAAGGCACACUUGACCAGAAUGGCUACCACAGCAUUCUGCAGUGAUACGCCAUCCCACCUGAUUUGUGCUUAGUGGGACUAUCAUUUGUUUUUCAACAGGACAAUGACCCAAAACACACCUCCAGGCUAUGUAAGGGCUAUUUGACCAAGAAGGGGAGUGAUGGAGUGCUGCAUCAGAUGACCUGGCCUUCACAAUCACCCGACCUCAACCCAAUUGAGAUGGUUUGGGAUGAGUUGGACUGCAGAGUGAAGGAAAAGGAGCCAACAAGUGCUCAGCAUAUGUGGGAACUUCAAGAUAGUUGGAAAAGCAGUCCAGGUGACUACCUCAUCUAGCUGAUUGAGAGAAUGCCAAGAGUGUACAAAGCUGUCAUCAAGGCAAAGGGUGACUACUUUGAAGAAUCUAAAAUAUAACAUAUUUUAAUUUGUUAAACACUUCUUUUGUUGCUACUUGAUUCCAUGUGUGCUAUUUCAUAGUUUUGAUGUCUUCACUAUUAUUCUACAGUGUAGAAAAUAGUAAAAAUAAAGAAAAACCCUUGAAUGAGUGAGUCCUAACUUUUGACUGGUACCGUAGAUCAUAACCAUUGCAGAAUACAUUCCUCUGCUUUUAUGGCCAUGAUGAGUUCCCG